rnacentral:lncRNA from 1 species
AGGGACUGCUGGUCUUUGUCCUGCCUCCCAAUUACCCCAGUGAAGAACCCUCCCCUUGGCCCUUGGAAGCCACACCUGGAGGCUCAUCCCACACACACCCCAACCUAGCUGUCCAGAAAGAGACCUUUGCCCUGGGAAGGAGAGAACAGUAGAGGAGCUUUCCCCAGGGAAGAAAGGCCAACUGGGGACCCCUUGGUUAGGAGCCUGGGGCCAGAGGCAUCAGUGGUCCUCAUGGGACCCUUAGUCCUCCACCUCCCACUCCCCAACACACACCCACACAUACUUCAGCACAGGGUCAGAGCUGAGGGAGGUGUUGACACACAUACCCUGACAUGGGUCUAUUUCGGGGCCUUCAGGCCUCCCACUGUGCACUGAGAGGUCUCCACCUGGGCAGGGAAAGACUUCGUUUAACAUUUUGCAGUCUUGUGUUGGGUGUGGAAUGAGGAUAAAGCAUGUAGAAUCAACCUGUGAUGGAUCCUUGGCCUUAAUCAACUUCUUCAGGGCUCUCCUGAUCCCUGGCCUUUUUUUUAAAGAUAGCUUUAUGGGGAUAUAAUCCAUACACCAUGACAUUUGUCCUUUUAAAGUGUGUAAGUCAGUGGUUUUAAGAAUACCUACAGUUGUGCAAUCAUCACUAUAAUCUAACUUUUUUUUUUUUUCAUACAGGGUCUUGUUCUGUCACCCCGGCCGGAGUGCAGUGGUGUGAUCAUGGCUCACCACAGCCUCAACCUCCUAAGCAAUCCUCCCACCUCAGCCUCCUAACUGGGACUACAGGCAGGUACCACACCCGGCUAAUUUUUUUUUUUUUUUUGGUAGAGAUGGUGGGGUCUCACUAUGUUGCUCAGGCUGGUCUUGAACUCCUUGCCUCAAGUAAUCUGUCUGCCUCGGCCUCCCAAAGUGCUGGGAUUACAGGCAGGACCGCACUCUGCCUAGAAUCUAACUUUAGAACAUUUUUUAUCAUCUCCCAAAGAAACCCUUUGCCAAUAGCAAUCACUCCCCAUUCUCCACUCCCCGGCCGAGGCAACCACAAAUCUGCUUUGUCUGUUUGUGGAUUUGUCUAUUCUGGACAUUUCAUCUAAAUGGAGCCAUGUAAUAUUUGUCUGAGACUGGCUUCUUUCACUGGGCAUAAUAUUUUCCAAGUUUGUCCAUACUGUAGCAUGUAUCAGUACUUCCCACCUUUCUUUUUUUCCUUUCUUUUUUUUUUUGGAGGGGGGAUGGAAUCUCCCUCUGUCACCCAGGCUGGAGUACAGUGGCGCAAUCUUGGCUGCAACUUCCGCCUCUUGGGCUCAAGUGAUUCUCCUUCCUGCCUUCCGAAUUGCUGGGAUUACAGGUUCUUGCCACUACGCCUGGCUAAUUGUUAUAUUUUUAGUAGAGACAGAGUUUUGCCAUGUUGGCCAAGCUGGUCUUGAAUUCCCGACCUCAAGUAAUCGCCCGCCUUGGCCUCCCAAAGUGCUGGGAUUACAGGUGUGAGCCACCACAACUGGCCAGUAAUUCGUACCUUUCUAUGGCUGUAUAAUAUUCUAUGUUGUGUGGAUAUACCACAUUUUGUUUUUCCAUUCAUCAGUGGAUGAACAUUUGCGUGGUUUCCACUUUUUGGCUAUUAUGAAUAAUGCUGCUACGUACAUUUGUGUAUGUUUUGUGUGGCCAUAUGUUUUCAUUUCUCCCGGGUAGAUAUCUAGGAGUGGAAUUGCUGUGACCCCUGGCCUUUGUACUCUGCCUCCUUGGCUAGGGAUCUAGUAUCUUCCUUGACAGGCCCAACUAUCUCAUCCUUCAGGUUUCUUAAAGGAAGCCUCGCUGACUCCCAUGGCUGAGUUGGGUCUUCUGUGCCACCCUACCUCCAAUCUUUGCACAUUUCAUAUGGUGAUAUGAUGGCCUGGGUCCUGAUCUUGGCCCCCACAGGUGAGCAACUUGAGAGAGACUAUCUGCUUUGGUUCACCACUGUCCAUCCCAGUGCCUGGCUCUCCUGCUGCUGGAAAGACAAGAGACAGAUUCUGAGGCCAGAGCAAUCAGGAAAGUCUUCCUGGAGGAAGCGGGGCUGGAGUUGGGUUGAUAGGUUGGUUUGCCCCAGAGCGGGGCAGAGGGCUUUGAUUGGCUUCGGUGGAAGAAAGGUGAAGAGAGCUUGGAGAAAGGAAAGAUGGAUGGGUGACAGGCAGGCAGAGAACAAAGCUCAGAGCCCCGGGGG